rnacentral:rRNA from 1 species
UACGUAGGGUGCAAGCGUUAAUCGGAAUUACUGGGCGUAAAGCGUGCGCAGGCGGUUUUGUAAGUCUGUCGUGAAAUCCCCGGGCUCAACCUGGGAAUUGCGAUGGAGACUGCAAGGCUAGAAUCUGGCAGAGGGGGGUAGAAUUCCACGUGUAGCAGUGAAAUGCGUAGAGAUGUGGGAGGAACACCGAUGGCGAAGGCAGCCCCCUGGGUCAAGAUUGACG